GACGAACGCUGGCGGCGUGCUUAACACAUGCAAGUCGAACGGUAAGGCUCCAGCUUGCUGGGGUACACGAGUGGCGAACGGGUGAGUAACACGUGGGUGACCUGCCCUGCACUUCGGGAUAAGCCUGGGAAACUGGGUCUAAUACCGGAUAGGACCGCACCGUGAGGGUGUGGUGGAAAGUUUUUUCGGUGUGGGAUGGGCCCGCGGCCUAUCAGCUUGUUGGUGGGGUAAUGGCCUACCAAGGCGGCGACGGGUAGCCGGCCUGAGAGGGUGGACGGCCACAUUGGGACUGACACACCGCCCACACUCCUACGGGAGGCAGCAGUGGGGAAUAUUGCACAAUGGGCGGAAGCCUGAUGCAGCGACGCCGCGUGGGGGAUGACGGCCUUCCGGUUGUCACCUCCCUUCACCAUCGACUACGGGUUUCUGACCAUAGAUGGAGAAGAACCACCGGCUAACUACGUGCCACCAGCCCCCGUAAUACGUAAGGCGCGAGCGCUGACCCCAAUUACUGGGGGUAAAGAGCCCGUAGUGGUUUGUCGCGUCGUCUGUGAAUUCCGGGGCUUAACUCCGGGCGUGCAGGCGAUACGGGCAUAACUUGAGUACUGUAGGGGAGACUGGAAUUCCUGGUGUAGCGGUGAAAUGCGCAGAUAUCAGGAGGAACACCGGUGGCGAAGGCGGGUCUCUGGGCAGUAACUGACGCUGAGGAGCGAAAGCAUGGGGAGCGAACAGGAUUAGAUACCCUGGUAGUCCAUGCCGUAAACGGUGGGCGCUAGGUGUGGGUUUCCUUCCACGGGAUCCGUGCCGUAGCUAACGCAUUAAGCGCCCCGCCUGGGGAGUACGGCCGCAAGGCUAAAACUCAAAGGAAUUGACGGGGGCCCGCACAAGCGGCGGAGCAUGUGGAUUAAUUCGAUGCAACGCGAAGAACCUUACCUGGGCUUGACAUAUACAGGAUCGCGCCAGAGAUGGUGUUUCCCUUGUGGCUUGUAUACAGGUGGUGCAUGGUUGUCGUCAGCUCGUGUCGUGAGAUGUUGGGUUAAGUCCCGCAACGAGCGCAACCCUUGUCUUAUGUUGCCAGCACGUUGUGGUGGGGACUCGUAAGAAACUGCCGGGGUUAACUCGGAGGAAGGUGGGGAUGACGUCAAAUCAUCAUGCCCCUUAUGUCCAGGGCUUCACACAUGCUACAAUGGUCGGUACAGUGGGUUGCCAGUCCGUGAGGGCGAGCUAAUCCCGCAAAGCCGGUCUCAGUUCGGAUCGGGGUCUGCAACUCGACCCCGUGAAGUCGGAGUCGCUAGUAAUCGCAGAUCAGCAACGCUGCGGUGAAUACGUUCCCGGGCCU
rnacentral:rRNA from 1 species